rnacentral:lncRNA from 1 species
AGGUUGAUAAGAGGUCCCCCAAUACCGCACUAGCACAAAAAGAAUCAUCAACUCUUGCAGUAUUCCCCACAAACGCAACUAUUUAAUAGAACAAAACCUUGAGCAUUGAGUAUAAAAUAUAAAUUAAAAAGAAAACAGUAAGUUCAUAUAUUUCUCAUUUUCAACAACCACUACAACCGAAUAACAUUAUAUAAUAUAUAAUCUAUAUAAUGUCACAUAACAUUUUGUUCAAGCAGUGUCUUGAUAGGUAAAAUCUAUAUUUACAAAGUUGCAUGAUCAAAGAAAAUCAUAUCACAAUUCUAUCACCACUUAUCCAACAAUAAAUAGCCACAUAAAAUGUAUAUAAGAAAGAGAUGUCAACACCUUUAUAAGCUUAUUUAAAACUAAAUAGCCACAUAAAAUGUAUAUAAGAGAGAGAUGUCAACACCUUUAUAAGCUU